AUGGGAAGAGGAAAGAUUGCGAUUAGGAGGAUUGAUAAUUCAACAAGCAGGCAAGUAACUUUCUCAAAAAGAAGAAAUGGAUUGUUGAAGAAAGCUAAAGAGUUGUCCAUUCUCUGUGAUGCUGAAGUUGGAUUGAUUGUUUUUUCAAGCACUGGAAGGCUCUAUGAUUAUUCAAGCACUAGGCACUCAAAACCUACUUUCUACCGUGCUAAUGUAAUUAGCAAGGAAGCCCUCUUACUCAAUGAAUCUGCUACCUUGUUAAGAGCCCUCGACUUAUACUGA